rnacentral:rRNA from 1 species
GACGAACGCUGGCGGCGUGCUUAGCACAUGCAAGUCGAACGGUGAAGCGCCUUCCUUUUUGGUGGGUGUGGAUGAGUGGCGAACGAGUGAGUAACACGUGAGUAACCUGCCCCCUUCUUCUGGAUAACCGCAUGAAAGUGUGGCUAAUACGGGAUAUUCUGGGUCUGUCGCAUGAUGGGUCUGGGAAAGAUAUUGUUUCGGUGGGGGAUGGGCUCGCGGCCUAUCAGCUUGUUGGUGGGGUGAUGGCCUACCAAGGCGGUGACGGGUAGCCGGCCUGAGAGGGUGGACGGUCACACUGGGACUGAGACACGGCCCAGACUCCUACGGGAGGCAGCAGUGGGGAAUAUUGCACAAUGGGCGCAAGCCUGAUGCAGCGACGCCGCGUGAGGGAUGGAGGCCUUCGGGUUGUGAACCUCUUUCGCCAGUGAAGCAGGCCUGCCUCGUUUGUGGGUGGGUUGACGGUAGCUGGAUAAGAAGCGCCGGCUAACUACGUG